rnacentral:rRNA from 1 species
UACGAAGGGAGCUAGCGUUGUUCGGAAUUACUGGGCGUAAAGGGCGCGUAGGCGGCCUGAUAAGUCAGAUGUGAAAGCCCCGGGCUUAACCUGGGAACUGCAUUUGAUACUGUCAGGCUAGAGAUCGAGAGAGGAAAGUGGAAUUACGAGUGUAGAAGUGAAAUUCGUAGAUAUUCGUAGGAACACCUGUGGCGAAGGCGACUUUCUGGCUCGACACUGACGCUAAAGCGCGAAAGCGUGGGGAGCAAACAGG